GAGGCACAUCCUGGAGGAAGCAUAUCCUCAUGGGUAGCCCCUGCUGCAGGAAGGAAGGCGAUGGCAGACACGGGCACAGGCACAGCAGAUGCAGCCAGCACCACAACACGUGUUCCUGAUGCCCAGAAAGUCCUCAGAAGUGUCUUCUGUAUGGGAACAGGCUGCUGGGCAGGGUUAAUGGCAGGCCUGCUUCUGUUGGACCUUGUUCUCAUAUUGUGCUGUGUCAGAAUCUGGUGUAACUGGAAGAAGAAAUGGAGCACCUCUGGAACUUCACAAGACCAGCCAAAGGCCUCAGUGCGGGAGAACUGGGCCUGUCAUCAUGCAUCUCCGUGCCAGUGUCCAUUGUCCCUUCCAGAGGUGUAUUACCAGCUUAUUGCUGGAAAUAUGCUGCAGCCAGUACCUAGAACAGAACCGUCUCUCCCUGAAGGGCCUGGCGUCGCUCUCCAUCCAGGACAGGACGUGUAGCCCUCUAGCCAGGGAAUGGAUUGUUCCAGAAGUUAUAUUUACUUGUAAAAAUUUUAAAUGUUUAUUAAAAACCUUAUUAGAAAUAUAACAGGACACUGAAUAAGGAAAAUGUUACGUCGUCGGGAGUAGAGG